rnacentral:rRNA from 1 species
UACAGAGGUCUCGAGCGUUGUUCGGAUUCAUUGGGCGUAAAGGGUGCGUAGGUGGUCUGGUAAGUCGGAUGUGAAAUCCCGGAGCUUAACUUCGGAACUGCAUUCGAUACUGCCGGACUGGAGUACUGGAGAGGAGAUCGGAAUUUACGGUGUAGCAGUGAAAUGCGUAGAUAUCAGGAGGAACACCGGUGGCGAAGGCGGGUCUCUGGGCCGAUACUGACGCUGAGGAGCGAAAGCGUGGGGAGCGAACAGG